GGGACUGACCGGUUUUGACAGCAGGCAGAGUCUGAUGGUAAGCACGCCGAGCGUUGUGUGGGCUCUCGUAAAACUGAAUGCUCGAAUUACAAAUGGCAAUAAUAGCUACGCACUCGCUGCUUAAUUUUACAGAGUAAAAUGGCUUAAUUCCGCGGUCCGAUGAGUCCGUGGAACGAGUACCCCGCCGAGCGCUCCGUCCCGUAGCGCGAGGAAUCCGGGGUAUCAUCGAAACGGGAAUGGCGGUUGCGACGCCUAUAAGCGGCCGCGAGAUUUCAUAGGCUGCGGCUGCGACUGGGUCGCCUUCGGCCAGGUCGCGGCAAGAGGAUCAAUCGAAGGAUAAGCGUGUAGAAAGCCCUCGGGUUCCUUGUUUGGACGAGGGUUCGACUCCCUCCAGUUCCACCG
rnacentral:tmRNA from 3 species